UGAAGAUCCCUGAGCCAUUCACAGCCCCUGUGAUGAGGGACACUCCUCCCAUCAGUCCCACCUCUGACUUUAGC